rnacentral:tRNA from 2 species
GUAAAUAUAGUUUAGUAAAACAUUAGACUGUGAAUCUAAUAACAAAAGUUUAAACCUUUUUAUUUACC